AUGCAAGAUUGUUGCGUAGGUUACAGGUCAAUUGCUCCCAGAACUCUUCCUGGUCAGAUACUCCGUAUUUUCUAUGCUUUAUUGGAGCAAGGCAGGGUCACCGCCAUUUUCAGGACUUUGGAAAUAUCUUCAGAAUAUGGGAAUAGGAGAGGUAAUGUUUACAAAAUAUUUUUUGUUUUCUUACAUAUCCUUGGGUUCACAACCUUACUUAAAAUAUGUACGCAACACCUAAUAAAUUCUUGCUAAAUACAUAAUAAAAAGUAUAUAUAUAUAUAUAUGUGUGUGUGUAGGUAUAUAUGUGGCCCUCUCAAUAUAUAUUUGGUACUCUAUUUAUUACUCCACUGUAUGUAUACCCCUCUGGUAUCCAGAACACAGGCUUAUAUGUAAAACAUAUAUAAUGACUGACUUAUUGGAACUUCACUACACAAAUACAAAUUCUAUAUUAAAAUGGUAUGUGUUAAAAUACUAUGUUACAAUUCUUGCCCUAUAUUUUUGGAACUCCUAGCUGAAUAAAAGGGUAUUCGGACCAAAAUAUUAUCUAUAGUGCUUUAUUUAUUUUUCUUCUACAGAAAAUAGGAAUAUUAUUUCAAAGAACACUUAUAGAAUAUUGUCGUAUAAAUGCAGUUUUGAAACCAUUUUAUUGAUUAUCUGAACCAUUUUAUGAGGUAUGAGCAAAUCUCACCUCUAGAUUUUCUAGGAGAAAGUUAUCAACUUGAAUUCGCUUCUUCUGAUCCUAUGUGCUGAGCUCUGUUAUCUUACAAUGCUCUGUUGACACUGCUAAGGGCAAGAAAUUAUUUAAGGUGAUAGAUUAUAGGUUGUUUCACUUUCUUUAGUAUAUGAUUUCUUAUACUUUUGUAUAUGAUUAGUAGAGGCUGUUUGGAAAUUUUAAAAGAAAAUGUGUGUUUAGUUGGGGCAAAGUGAAGUAAAGAGAAAUGACAUGGACAGAUUGUCCACUCCUGAUAUUCCAGGCAUCCCACAAGGAGAUACACAGAGGGGACAAGGCCAGGCAAACGUUUGUGCUUGUUAGUUACCAUGAGGCUUUGUGUCCGUGUAUUCCUGUGAACCAGGCUGCACUUUGGCAACAAUCCCUUGCGCUUACAUUAAUCCAAUGUGAGUGGCCAACCGAGACAGGACAUUCUUUCCCUUCCGCUCUGAGCUCAUACUCACUGGCUUGAGCACAAUAUUAAAAAACCAGCUCGAUGUCCAGACAGGCCCGGUCUAAGCAAGCUCUCCUCAGGCCUUCUCAGGAAAGAGCAUUGCUGAGUCAGAGCAGACUCUGGCUGGUGUUACUUCCUCAAUCUGAGGAAGUAAAGUCCAGAGAAAUAAACUCAUGGGAGAGCACAGGUAUACCUCAUUUUAUUGCAUGUUGCUUUAUCGUACUUCACAGAUAAUAGUGGUUUUUACAAAUUGAAGGUUUGUGGCGACCCAUGGAGCAAGUCUUUUGGAAGCAUUUUUCCAACAGUAUGAGCUCACUUACUAUUUCUGUGUCAUAUAUUGGUAAUUCUAACAAUAUUUCAAGCUUUUUUAUUGUCAUUAUAUUUAUUAUGGUGAUGUGUGAUUAGUGAUCUUUGAUGUUACUCUUGUAACGGUUUUGGGGUACCACCACCCAUGCCCAAACAAGACAAUCACCUUAAUUGAUAAAUGUUGUGUGUGGUCUCACUGACCAUCCAUUCUCCCAUCUCUCACCCUCUCCUUGGGCCUCUCUAUUCUUGAAACACAACAAUAUUGAAAUUAGGCCAAUUAAUAACCUCGCAAAGACCCCCCAAGCAUCCAAGUAAAGGAAGAGUUUCACGUCUCUCACUUUAAGGCAAAGCUAGAAAGGAUUGAGCUUAGUGAGGAAGGCAUGUUGAAAGCUGAGAAAGCUGAAAACGAGGCCUCUUGCACCCAACAGUCAAGUUGUGAAUGCAAAGCAUAAGUACUUAAAGGAAAUGAAAAGUACUACUUCAGUGAAUACACAAAUGAUGAGAAAGUGAAACAGUUUUAUUGCUGAUAUGGAGACAAUUUUAGUGGUCUGGAUGGAAGAUCCAACCAGCCAGAUCAUUCCCUUAAGCCCGAGCAAGGCUCUAACUCUUUUCAAUUCUGUGAAGGCUGAAAAAGGUAAGGAGGCUGCAGAAGAAAGUUUGAUGCUAGCAGAGGUUGCUUCGUGAGGUCUGAGGAAAGAAGCUAUCUCUCUAACGUGAGUGCAAGGUGAAGCAGUAAGUGAUGAUCAAGAAGCUGCAGGAGGUUAUCCAGAAGAUCAGGCUAAGGUCAUCGAUGAAAGUGGUGACACAAAACAACAGAUCUUAAUUGCCGGGGGAACAAUCUUACAUUGAAAGAUGUCAUCCAGGACUUUCACAGCAAGAGAAGUCAAUGCCUGGCUUCAAAGCUUCAAAAGGCAGGCUAACUCUCUUAUUAGAAGCUAACGAAGCUGGUGACUUUAAGUCAUCAUCAGUGGUGAUGUCCCCUUUAUUUUUUUUAUUGCAUCUAUUUGAUUCUUCUCUCUUUUCUUAUUUAUUAAUUUGGCUAGUGGUCUAUUUUGUUAAUCUUUAAAAAAAACCAGCUCUUGGAUUUGAUUUUUUCGAAGGGUUUUUUUUUUGUGUCUCUAUCUCCUUCAGUUCUGCUCUGAUCUUAGUUACUGAUUUUUCUAUAUUGCAAAUUACUGGAUUCAAUUAUUCAUUUAAAUGGGAUUUUGUGGAAUCUCUAAGAUUGUUUAAGAAUCAUUAAGGUGUUUACAUAUAGGAAUAUUUCAUCUGCAAAUAGGGAUAAUUUGACUUCUUUUUCAGUUUAGAUUCCUUUUAUUUCUUUUUCUUUUCUGAUUGCUCUUGCUAGGACUUACAGAACUAUGUUGAAUAGAAGUGGCAAGAGUGAGCAGUCUGCCUUGUACUGUAUCUUAUUGGAAAUGCUUUCAGUUUCCCCCUAUUGUUAUAGUGUUAGCUGUAUGUUUUUCAUAGAUAACCUUUAUUCUGUUGAGGUAUUUUCUUUCUAUACCUAAACUGUUGAGAGUUUUUAUCAAGAAAAGAUGUUGGACUCUGUCAAAUGCUUUUUCUGCAUCAAUUAAAGAGGAUCAUAUGGUUUUCAUCUUGCAUUCUGAUAAUGUGAUGUAUUACAUUGAUUGAUUUGCAUAUGUUAAAACAGGCUUGCACGCAGGGAUAAAUCCCAUUUGGUCAUGACGUAUAAUCUUUGUGAUGUAUUGUUGGAUUCGGUUUGUUAACAUUUUUUGAGCAUUUUUGCUCAAUAUUCAUACAGAAAUUAGCCUGUUGUUUUUUUUUUUCUUGAAAUGUCUUUGGCUUUGUAUCAGGGUGAUACUGGCCUUAUAAGAUGUGUUUGGAAGUAUUAUUUCUGGUUCUAUUCUUUGGAAGAGUUUUAGAAGUAUUGGUAUUAAUUCUUUGGUAGAAUUUAACUGUGAAGCUAUCUGGUCCUGGGCUUUUAUUUUUUGAAAGGCUUUGAUUACUUCUUCAAUCUUUUGUUAUAUUUCUUUUCAGGAUUUCUAUUUCUUCCCGACCGAAUCGUGGUCAUUAUUUACAAUCUAACAGAUUUACAAUCGUGGUAGUUUGUAUUUUUCCAGGAAUUUAUCUGUUUCCUUUAGGUUAUCCUAUUUGUUGGCAUAAAAUUUUCAUGAGAGUCUCUUAUGAUCCUUUUAAUUUCUGAGGCAUCUGCUGUAAUUUUCUCACUUUCAUUUUUGUAUUUGUGUCUCUUUCAAAUUCUGAUUUUGUUGAGCUCCUGUGUGUUGAGGUGGUUACUCAGGACAACAAGACAAAUUGAAAGUCAUGAUAAACUUUUUACUCAGUUUCUAUGGCAGAAUAAGCAAGAGACAGGAUGAUAGGUGCUGUCUCAAUGUUUCAUUUCUCCCUACAGAACAGUAUUGGGUGAGGUACAGCAGUGUAGACAAGGGGAUUGUUUCACUGCCAAGGAGCUGUGAACAAAAGGAUCCUCUCAUUUUAUGGAUCCAGGAGGCUGUGGGGAGAGAGAUGGGUAAGGGCUAGGAGUGGAAGUGUUAAGUCAGAGUGAAGAAACAUGUCUCAGUCAAGGCCUUGCAGUAAGGAGGUCUUGGCAGAGUUGCCCAAAACGUACCUCAGCUGAGGACCCCCAUAAAGAGGUCUUCAAAUGCAGGCGCCUAGGCUAGACAUGAAAAUAGGUAAAUGAGCAUGGUUGGCGCAGGGGUGCCUGAGUCCUUUCCUACAACCCCCUCCAGAGACUGCAAUGCACUGGCUGUGCACCAAGACUGGUGUGGGAGGACAGCUUUCCCUUAAUGAGGCCUGCCAGGCAAAGCCUUGUAAUUGCCUGCGGUCAGGCUUGAAUGGCCACAUAUAGAAUUUUGGCCUGGAGCUAGACUCCUCAGAUUAGCCCCACCAGCUCAGCUGAAGUUAAGGGCUCAGUUGUUUUCUCAUUAUCCCCAUAGCCUCUUCAUUUCUGGCAGGCCCUGUCAUCAGCAGACACGUCUGCAUUUGCCCCCAGGGGCGCCCAGAGCUCUGCUGACCUAUGAAGGGCUCAUUCUUCUUGUGAAUUCAUUCAUCAUGGCUUCCUUGUGUCUACUGCUCAAUGGCUCUACAGAAAACUAGGGUUUUUAUUUUAUCCCCUUUAUCUGUGUUAUUGGCACAAGACCCAAGAAUUUUUGCACCCUGAAGUAGUAGUAUUAAGUGCCUUCCAUGCACUGUGUUCUAGGGAGCCACUGUCAGCCUUCCAGUUCCUCUCUCCACCAUUCUGCCCUCUGCUCUGAGCCUCACAUACUGAAGUUGGUGGCUGCAUCAAUAGGCAGACUUGCCCUUUG
ensembl:lncRNA